rnacentral:sRNA from 1 species
CGGUUGAACAAACCUUGCAUAAAUGCCAACUUUUAGCGCACGGCUCUCUCCCAAGAGCCCUUUCCCUAGACCGAGUAUAGGAAUCGUACUCGGUCUUUUUUU